GCAUCGAUGAAGAACGCAGCGAAAUGUGAAAACUAAUGUGAAUUGCAGAAUUCAGUGAAUCAUCGAGUCUUUGAACGCACAUUGCGCCCUCUGGUAUUCCGGAGGGCAUGCCUGUCCGAGCGUCAUUGCUGCCCUCAAGCCCGGCUUGUGUGUUGGGCCCCGUCCCCCCCGCCGGGGGGACGGGCCCGAAAGGCAGCGGCGGCACCGCGUCCGGUCCUCGAGCGUAUGGGGCUUCGUCACCCGCUCUAGUAGGCCCGGCCGGCGCCAGCCGACCCCCAACCUUUAAUUAUCUCAGGUUGACCUCGGAUCAGGUAGGGAUACCCGCUGAACUUAAGCAUAUCAAUAAGCGGAGGAA
rnacentral:rRNA from 1 species